rnacentral:rRNA from 1 species
CGCGUGAGUAACCUGCCCUGGAGUGGGGAAUAACAGCUGGAAACAGCUGCUAAUACCGCAUAAUGCAGUUGGGCCGCAUGGCUCUGACUGCCAAAGAUUUAUCGCUCUGGGAUGGACUCGCGUCUGAUUAGCUAGUUGGUGGGGCAACGGCCCACCAAGGCGACGAUCAGUAGCCGGACUGAGAGGUUGGCCGGCCACGUUGGGACUGAGACACGGCCCAGACUCCUACGGAAGGCAGCAG